GCCGCUGUAGCUCAAUGGAAGAGCAGUUCCGUCCUAAGGAAAGGGUUGGGGGUUCGAGUCCCUCCAGCGGCAC
rnacentral:tRNA from 1 species